rnacentral:rRNA from 1 species
UACAGAGGGGGCAAGCGUUGUUCGGAAUUACUGGGCGUAAAGGGCGCGUAGGCGGCCUGUUAAGUCGGACGUGAAAUCCCUCGGCUCAACCGGGGAACUGCGUCUGAUACUGGCGGGCUUGAAUUCGGGAGAGGGAUGUGGAAUUCCAGGUGUAGCGGUGAAAUGCGUAGAUAUCUGGAGGAACACCGGUGGCGAAGGCGGCAUCCUGGACCGACAUUGACGCUGAGGCGCGAAAGCCAGGGGAGCAAACGGGAUUAGAUACCCCGGUAGUCCUGGCCCUAAACGAUGAGUGCUUGGUGUGGCGGGUAUCGAUCCCUGCCGUGCCGAAGCUAACGCAUUAAGCACUCCGCCUGGGGAGUACGGUCGCAAGGCUGAA